UCACAGGGUCUCUUGUGCCUUAUGGGGUU
rnacentral:piRNA from 1 species